rnacentral:rRNA from 2 species
UUAUGAAGUCAGCGGCGGACGGGUGAGUAACACGUGGGCAACCUGCCUGUAAGACUGGGAUAACUUCGGGAAACCGGAGCUAAUACCGGAUAACACAAGGAACCUCCUGGUUCCUUGUUGAAAGAUGGUUUCGGCUAUCACUUACAGAUGGGCCCGCGGCGCAGAGCUAGUUGGUGAGGUAACGGCUCACCAAGGCGACGAUGCGUAGCCGACCUGAGAGGGUGAUCGGCCACACUGGGACUGAGACACGGCCCAGACUCCUACGGGAGGCAGCAGUAGGGAAUCUUCCACAAUGGACGAAAGUCUGAUGGAGCAACGCCGCGUGAGCGAUGAAGGCCUUCGGGUCGUAAAGCUCUGUUGUUAGGGAAGAACAAGUGCGAGAGUAACUGCUCGCACCUUGACGGUACCUAACCAGAAAGCCACGGCUAACUACGUGCCAGCAGCCGCGGUAAUACGUAGGUGGCAAGCGUUGUCCGGAAUUAUUGGGCGUAAAGCGCGCGCAGGCGGUUUCUUAAGUCUGAUGUGAAAGCCCACGGCUCAACCGUGGAGGGUCAUUGGAAACUGGGGAACUUGAGUGCAGAAGAGGAGAGUGGAAUUCCACGUGUAGCGGUGAAAUGCGUAGAGAUGUGGAGGAACACCAGUGGCGAAGGCGACUCUCUGGUCUGUAACUGACGCUGAGGCGCGAAAGCGUGGGGAGCAAACAGGAUUAGAUACCCUGGUAGUCCACGCCGUAAACGAUGAGUGCUAAGUGUUAGAGGGUUUCCGCCCUUUAGUGCUGCAGCUAACGCAUUAA